rnacentral:rRNA from 1 species
GUAAGGAAUAUUGGUCAAUGGGCGGAAGCCUGAACCAGCCAUGCCGCGUGCAGGACGACGGCCCUACGGGUUGUAAACUGCUUUUGCCCGGGAAUAACCCCCCGCUCUUGAGCGGGGCUGAACGUACCGGGAGAAUAAGGAUCGGCUAACUCCGUGCCAGCAGCCGCGGUAAUACGGAGGAGCCGAGCGUUAUCCGGAUUUAUUGGGUUUAAAGGGUGCGUAGGCGGCCUGUUAAGUCAGGGGUGAAAUACGGCAGCUCAACUGUCGCAGUGCCCUUGAGACUGACGGGCUUGAAUACCGGUGAAGGCGGCGGAAUGAGACAAGUAGCGGUGAAAUGCAUAGAUAUGUCUCAGAACCCCGAUUGCGAAGGCAGCUGCCUAACCGGCGAUUGACGCUGAUGCACGAAAGCGUGGGGAUCGAACAGGAUUAGAUACCCGAGUAGUCC